UAUUAAGAAGCGAAUAUUUGCACUCAGUUUCGACCUGAAUUUUGGUAGUAACCCUUAAUUU
rnacentral:tRNA from 1 species